UGAUCAUCCUCACUGAAAAUGUUUCUACUGUAGAUCACCAGGGUCAAUGCAGUGGAUGUGGCUGACUAGGAGGGUGUCCCCUUUCUCCCUUACCAUUCCAUGUUCAUCCCUCUUGACACUGCCCUCCUGGUCAAAGAGGAUGACUUUCCCCAAUAGAGGAGGGCCGUUUUUCAGUCAAGGAUAUACAAGUAGCUGCACUCCCCUGCCAGAACCUCCAAACAAGUUUUCAAGGAAAAUCGAGGGUAGUCAACCUUCCAAGACUCUAGACACAUUCAACCAAGGUAUUGCAUGUGGCAGUCCGCCUUUCUUU
rnacentral:snRNA from 1 species